GGCGAGGUGGCCGAGUGGUUAAGGCGAUAGACUAGAAUCUGGCUUCGGCCUCUUUCCAGACAAUCUAUUGGGUUCGCCCGCGUAGGUUCAAAUCCUGCCCUCGUCG
rnacentral:tRNA from 1 species